CCUACGGGAGGCAGCAGUGGGGAAUAUUGGACAAUGGGCGCAAGCCUGAUCCAGCCAUACCGCGUGGGUGAAGAAGGCCUUCGGGUUGUAAAGCCCUUUUGUUGGGAAAGAAAAGCAGUCGAUUAAUACUCGGUUGUUCUGACGGUACCCAAAGAAUAAGCACCGGCUAACUUCGUGCCAGCAGCCGCGGUAAUACGAAGGGUGCAAGCGUUACUCGGAAUUACUGGGCGUAAAGCGUGCGUAGGUGGUUGUUUAAGUCUGUUGUGAAAGCCCUGGGCUCAACCUGGGAAUUGCAGUGGAUACUGGGCGACUAGAGUGUGGUAGAGGGUAGUGGAAUUCCCGGUGUAGCAGUGAAAUGCGUAGAGAUCGGGAGGAACAUCCAUGGCGAAGGCAGCUACCUGGACCAACACUGACACUGAGGCACGAAAGCGUGGGGAGCAAACAGGAUUAGAUACCCUGGUAGUCCACGACCUAACGANGCGACUAGAUGUGGUGCAUUGUCGCGCAGUAUACGAGACUACGACGUAGUUCGCCGCCGUGGGAGGUACGGUCGUCGAGACGUUAGAACGUACGAAAGGAAGUUAGACGGCGUUGAGACGNGCCGACGGACGACGACGAGGGAGGAGG
rnacentral:rRNA from 1 species